GUGCUUAACACAUGCAAGUCGGACGGUAAGGCCCUUCGGGGUACACGAGUGGCGAACGGGUGAGUAACACGUGGGUAAUCUGCCCUGCACAUCGGGAUAAGCCUGGGAAACUGGGUCUAAUACCGAAUAGGACCACAGAACACAUGUCCUGUGGUGGAAAGCUUUUGCGGUGUGGGAUGGGCCCGCGGCCUAUCAGCUUGUUGGUGGGGUGAUGGCCCACCAAGGCGACGACGGGUAGCCGGCCUGAGAGGGUGUCCGGCCACACUGGGACUGAGAUACGGCCCAGACUCCUACGGGAGGCAGCAGUGGGGAAUAUUGCACAAUGGGCGAAAGCCUGAUGCAGCGACGCCGCGUGGGGGAUGACGGCCUUCGGGUUGUAAACCUCUUUCACCAUCGACGAAGGUUCGGGUUUUCUCGGAUUGACGGUAGGUGGAGAAGAAGCACCGGCCAACUACGUGCCAGCAGCCGCGGUAAUACGUAGGGUGCGAGCGUUGUCCGGAAUUACUGGGCGUAAAGAGCUCGUAGGUGGUUUGUCGCGUUGUUCGUGAAAUCUCACGGCUUAACUGUGAGCGUGCGGGCGAUACGGGCAGACUUGAGUACUGCAGGGGAGACUGGAAUUCCUGGUGUAGCGGUGGAAUGCGCAGAUAUCAGGAGGAACACCGGUGGCGAAGGCGGGUCUCUGGGCAGUAACUGACGCUGAGGAGCGAAAGCGUGGGGAGCGAACAGGAUUAGAUACCCUGGUAGUCCACGCCGUAAACGGUGGGUACUAGGUGUGGGUUUCCUUCCUUGGGAUCCGUGCCGUAGCUAACGCAUUAAGUACCCCGCCUGGGGAGUACGGCCGCAAGGCUAAAACUCAAAGAAAUUGACGGGGGCCCGCACAAGCGGCGGAGCAUGUGGAUUAAUUCGAUGCAACGCGAAGAACCUUACCUGGGUUUGACAUGCACAGGACGCCGGCAGAGAUGUCGGUUCCCUUGUGGCCUGUGUGCAGGUGGUGCAUGGCUGUCGUCAGCUCGUGUCGUGAGAUGUUGGGUUAAGUCCCGCAACGAGCGCAACCCUUGUCUCAUGUUGCCAGCGGGUAAUGCCGGGGACUCGUGAGAGACUGCCGGGGUCAACUCGGAGGAAGGUGGGGAUGACGUCAAGUCAUCAUGCCCCUUAUGUCCAGGGCUUCACACAUGCUACAAUGGCCGGUACAAAGGGCUGCGAUGCCGCGAGGUUAAGCGAAUCCUUUUAAAGCCGGUCUCAGUUCGGAUCGGGGUCUGCAACUCGACCCCGUGAAGUCGGAGUCGCUAGUAAUCGCAGAUCAGCAACGCUGCGGUGAAUACGUUCCCGGGCCUUGUACACACCGCCCGUCACGUCAUGAAAGUCGGUAACACCCGAAGCCAGUGGCCUAACC
rnacentral:rRNA from 1 species